CACAUGCCAAGUCGAACGGUGGCUUCGGCCACAGUGGCGCACGGGUGAGUAACACGUGGGAACCUGCCUUUCGGUUCGGGAUAACGUCUGGAAACGGACGCUAACACCGGAUACGUCCCCCAGAGAAAUUUUGGCGGAGAAAGUUGGGCCCGAGAGAGGGGCCCGCGCCGGUGGGGGUAUUUGGUGGGGUAAUGGCCCUCCAAGCCUGGUAUCGGUAGAUGGUCUGACACGAUGAUCCUGACACUGGGACUGACACCUNGCCCAGACUCCUACGGGAGGCAUUGGUGGGGAAUAUUGGACAAUGGGGGCAACCCUGAUCCGAGUGAUCCAGGUGAUUGAUGAAGGCCUUUCGGUUGUAAAGCUCUUUCACACCCGACGAUGAUGACGGUACCGUGAGAAAAAGCCCCCGCUAACUUCCUGCCAUCAGCCGGGGUAAUACGAAGGGGGCAAUUGUUGUUCGUAAUUACUGGGCAUAAAGGGUGCGUAGGCGGACUGUUUAGUCCCAAGUGAAACCCCCGGGCUCCUUUUGAUAACGGCUUUUUAUACUGCCAGGCUUGAUUUCCGAAUACGAUGGUGGAAUUCCCAAUGCAUAGGUGAAAUUCAUAAAUCUUGUGAAGAACACCGGUGGCUGGACCGGCCCUCUGGACGGACACUGACGCUGAGGCGAGAAAGCGUGAUUAGAUAACCUGAUUAUAUACCCUGGUAAUCAACACCGCAAACCACGAAUGCUGCAUGCUGUCGUGCACGCACUUCANUGUCUACGCUAACGCACUGGGGAUUCCG
rnacentral:rRNA from 1 species